rnacentral:rRNA from 1 species
GUCGAACGGACUAUGAGGGCUUGCUCUUAUAGUUAGUGGCGAACGGGUGAGUAACGCGUGGGAAUCUGCCCUGGAGUGGGGAACAACAGUUGGAAACGACUGCUAAUACCGCAUACGCCCUGAGGGGGAAAGGCUUCGGCCGCUCUUGGAUGAUCCCGCGUCUGAUUAGCUUGUUGGUGGGGUAACGGCCUACCAAGGCGACGAUCAGUAGCUGGUCUGAGAGGAUGAUCAGCCACACUGGGACUGAGACACGGCCCAGACUCCUACGGGAGGCAGCAGUGGGGAAUAUUGGACAAUGGGGGAAACCCUGAUCCAGCAAUGCCGCGUGAGUGAAGAAGGCCUUAGGGUUGUAAAACUCUUUCGCCGGUGAAGAUGAUGACUGUAGCCG